UACGAAGGGGGCUAGCGUUGCUCGGAAUCACUGGGCGUAAAGGGUGCGUAGGCGGGUUUUUAAGUCAGGGGUGAAAUCCUGGAGCUCAACUCCAGAACUGCCUUUGAUACUGAAGAUCUUGAGUCCGGGAGAGGUGAGUGGAACUGCGAGUGUAGAGGUGAAAUUCGUAGAUAUUCGCAAGAACACCAGUGGCGAAGGCGGCUUACUGGUCCGGUUCUGACGCUGAGGCGCGAAAGCGUGGGGAGCAAACAGG
rnacentral:rRNA from 1 species